rnacentral:lncRNA from 1 species
UAUCUAACUCAAACUUUUAAAAUUAUGGGUAAACUUCAAAUACCCCCUGUAGUUUCACACUUUCUCACUUUAAUACCUUGUUGUUUAAAGUAUAUCAAGUUAGCCCCUGUGGUUUCGCACUUUUUCACUUUAGUAUGCUGUGGUUUAAAAUGUAUCAAGUUAGUACCAUGUUGUCUCAUUUUUCUCUUUUUAUUAUUCAUUUCACUAAUUUUUUUCGUUAAAUCGGUGAGAAAGUUAAAACUAAAGUGUACUAAAAUGAAUAUUCGAUAAAGAUAUCUGAAGUUUUUUCUAUAUAAUUUAACGAAAUAUUAACGGGAAAAAAAAAUCAGUGACAAAGUUAAAACCAAAGGGUAUUAAACUAAAUAUUCGAUAAACCUAGGUAGGGUAUUUAAAGUUUUUUGUAUAUAAUUUAACAAAAUAUUAACAGAGGAAUCGACGAAAAGAGAAAAAUAAAACCAUGGAGUACUAAAUUGAUGCACUUUAAACUAUAUGGUACUAAAGUGAGAAAGUGCGAAACCACAGGGUACUAUAUUGAUACACUUUAAACCAUAGGGUAUUAAAGUGAAAAAGUGUGAAACCAUAGGAGUGGUAUUUAAAGUUUUUUCUAAAAUUAUUAUAAUUAAGUUCUAUAAUUUAAUUUAGUUGAUCAAAUUUUAAUAUAUUGAUAAUGUGAAAGUGACGUAAUAUUUUAAUUAUUAUUGUUUCAUUAAUUAUAUACCGUUAUAUCAUUUUUCUAUUAAUAACACGUCAGCAUUUAGCCAAUUAAAAUUGGUUGUGCAACUUAAUUACAACACUUUAAAAUUAAAGUUUAAGGAUCAAAGUGUCACUCGCCACAUAGUAUGAGGGCUAAAAGUGUAAUUAACUAUACUAAGGGGAUGUAUUGAAAAUAAAAAAAUUAAUAUUUACUUUUCAAAAUUUCAAAAAUAUUUAAUAUAUCUCUAAUUAAUCAAAAUUUUCUUAUUACUCAUAAAAAAUUUCUUUGAAUAUACCUAUUUUUAGAAUUGGCUAUUAAAAUUUAGAGUUUAGAAGAAUACUUUAGAAAAGGAAGGAUAAGUUUAAAAUUUUUUGAAUAAUAGUAAAGAGUACAUAAGCAAAGACCCUAAAAAAAAAAAAAAAAGGUGCUUUCGAAGCUUAAGCUUUGAUUUUUGUAGGUAAACGCUAUUUUUUAUAAUUUAAAACAUAUUAUUGUAAUAUAUAUUUAUAAAUUAAAUAUAGGAUAAUAUAUCUAUUAAUAAAUAGUAUAUAUAUAUAUAGGGACAAUUUCAAACGUGCUCCUCAAAAGUUAUAAAAUAUUAUUGAUACUCUUUCAAAACUAUUGAUACUAUUUUUAUUUUUAUAAAUUAAUAAAUUAUAUCAAAAGCACCCUCCAUCACAUGCAUUAGGGCUUUUUUUUUGCAUUUGGCCCCCUAUUUUUUUUCACAACUAGCCUCAUCAAAUUUGUAAUUAUAAAUUUGAUUCUAUUCCCGCAACACUGGUGCCACCUCAGUGCCACGCUAGAUGAGUUGAACACGGUGAAGAAUUUACCGUGUUCAAACACAGUGAAUGAUUCAGCGUGUUCCAUAUGUUCAAACACGAUGAAUAAUUCACCAUGUUCCAUAUUUAUAUUUUUCAUAUUCUUCUUUUUCAAUACUUAUAUUUUUUCACAAUACAUAUAUUUGUAUUUUUUUCAAACACGGUGAAUCAUUCACUGUGUUUAGACACGGUGAUUGAAUUACCGUAUGCAACUUAUUCCACUUUCCUUACUUACGUGGCGUUUAUCUGGCAUCCACGUGGCAGGAAUAAGGCCAAAAUUAUAAUUAUAAAUUUGGUUAGAUUAUUUGUGAAAAUAAAUUUUUUGAGGAGACGAAAUGCCAAAAAAGCCCCCAUGCAUUAAUAAUUUUUGACUAAUUUAUCAGUAGUCAUGUGUAAUUUAUAAAUAAUUGUGCAGUAUCACGUGGGGUCAACAAAUUUAUUCUUUAUCGAAAAAUAACUCGAUUUUGGAUUAUGAUUCAAUUUAUGAAACUUAAGUUUUCCUUUUUUUAUUAAUAUCAUAUGAGUCUCAUGUUAACUCAUAAUAAGUAAUUAAUUUGAAAUUAAAAAUAUGUUAUACCUUUUCGUGAAUCUAUUUCUUUUUGUCUAAAUUAAUAUAUGAUUUUUUUUAUUUACUAUUUGUAUUGUAUUUGUAAUUUUUUCCUAUACAAGGUUCGGGCAAGUGUGUACCUACGAGAUAAUUUAUUUUUACAGACAACCAAACAAGUUGAAAACCAUUUUUAGCACUGAAAAUAUUUUUUUUGCGUAUUUUUACGACAAACCAAACACAACCUCUUGUUGUCGUAAUAGUUUAUUUGGUAUCGAAGUUAGGCUAACUAUCGGAAUUAAAAAAGUUGAACAAAAAAUAUAUAUAAAAAUAUGUUCCUUCAUUUUUCAAUACAUAAAAAUGAGUUUCAGAUGGCGCAUUAAUGAAAUAAAAAGCAAACAAAGCAUAAAUACUAUCUGAAUUUUGGCAUUACAAAAACUAGUAUAUAAAUAUAUUCUAUGUAACAGAACCAAAACAUUGAAUUUGCAUUUGCCCCCUCAAAAAAAAUUAUUUUAAAAAUAAUCUCAACAAAUUUAUAUUUACAAAAAUGGCCCUAAUCCUGCCACGCAGGCGCCAUUAGCGCCACGUCAGCGGGGCGGGGGCCAGUUUGUUAAGUUGAACACGGUGAAUCAUUCACCAUGUCUAAAUACGGUGAAUGGUUCACCGUGUUGGAAAAAUAUAGUAUAUAUGUAUUGUAUUGGGAAAAAAUAUAAGUAUUGAAAAGAGGAAUGAGGGGAAUAUACGUAUAGAACACGGUGAACAUUCACCGUGUUCAACUUAACACUAUACUCCUGAUGUGGCGCCUACGUGGUGGGGAUAGGGCCAAAUUUGUAAUUAUAAAUUUGAUGAGGUUAUUUGUAGGAAAAAAAAAUUUGAGACGGCCAAAUGCAAAAAAAAUCCUGAAUUAGAACUUUUUGAUUUUCAGAACAGUAGAUUUUUUUUUUUUUUUGCCAAAUAUUUUAUUAGAAAUUGUUUAUAUCGAAAGCAAAAAUAGAAGCUACGCCAAACAGACCUUUAUAUGCAAUCCUUGCAAAUUUAUCCCUCACCAGUAGAGGGUAACACUACAUUUUUGUGUACAUGGUGCAUUACAUGUUCUUAACCAAUGGCACGUGUGAAAUCUUCAUAAUUUAAUUUGUUUUAAUAAAUAAUUUACUGAUGUCAACGCCUCAAUAUGUAGUCUAACAAUCACUGGAUAGGAUAAAAGUCAAAAUGUCUUUUUUAUGUCAAAACAAAUUAUCCACUAAUAAUUUAUGUGUUAUGAUUUUUUAUUUUAUUUUUUUUUAGUGAUUCAAGUUAAGAGUCUUGAAAAUUUAUCUAAUUAUGUAAAAAAAGACCUCCAAGGCAAAAUAUGAUAUGCUCUCUCCAUGUUUGAUCAUAUUUAUUAUUUUCUAAAUUACAAACUUCUUAAGCAAAUAUAAAAAAAAAUUGUGUGGAACAAAAUACUGUGCAUCCAAAUAAGCCCUAAAACUAAAAUGCUAAACUAUUUGUCGCACUGAAUAUUUUCUCAUGUAGUUGUAAUUUUAAUUACCCUUCACUUACUCUACUGAUAAGUUAAAGAGAAUGCGGAGCAACGCAUCACGGACUGACAUGGGACACGACACGAUUCAAACACAGCGACUGGGCAGCUAAUUUUUGAAAUUAAGAUAUGAACAUGACAUAAACAACACUAAUAAAAUAUAAUAUUAUUAAUAUAAUAAUAUAUAAUUAUUAUAUAAAAUAUUAAUUUUGGUAAAAUAUUGUUAUAUUUUUUAUACGAAUAAAAUGUAGUAAAAUUUUUAUUGACUGUUCAUAUAUUUUAAGAAAAAAUUUUCUACUAUACAUAAUUUAUUUAUAUUGUGCAGAAAAAUUUACAUCCAUUCAUCAAAAAAUUGAAAUACUUAUCAUCUUACAUUAUAUAUACUAAAAAAAUAAUAUAUAUAUAUAUAUAUAUAUAUAUAUAUAUAUAUAUAUAUAUAUAUAUAUAUAUAUAUAUAUAUAUAUAUAUAUAUAUAUAUAUAUAUAUAUNCGACGAUCGGCUCCGUUAGAGUUGAUCUAGAGUAUUUGAAGUACCUAGAAAAUAAAUUUUGUGAUUUUUUGAUAUCAUUUGCCUAGUGAUUGAAGGUGUUCAAAAUCAAUAAUUUUAAUGGCCAUAAUGAGCCGUUUGCAAGUUUAACGGUGUAGAAAUAUUCAAAUCACAUAAAAUUUUGAUAGAAAAUUCUUUAUACCAUAUAAAACAAGAUCAAUAACUUUGAUCUAAAAUUUUAAUAUCGUAUCAUCAUAUUUUAUAAGAUUUUUAUUUUCAACCGUUGAUUUUGAGCUACUUCGAUCACUAGGCAAAUGAUAUCGAAAAAUCGCAAAAUUUAUUUUCUAGAUACUUCAAAUACUCUAGAUUAAGUCUAACGGAGCCAAUUGUCGAUUCGAAAGUCCGAACAUCGAAAACAACUUGGAAGCACGGAGUGCUCCGUGCUUCCAGAAGCAUACCAGACGCACUAUAUAUAUAUAUGCAUUGUGAAUCAGCAUUAAGGCUUCGGUUGGAAUUACGGCGAGAUUGCGUUAUGUGCGGCGAGAAAAUACGUUGAAAAAAUAUCAUAUUUAUUUUCGUACAUAAUAUUACAUCCCGUAUAUCGCGAUGAGUCGAUUACGAUAUAUUUUCUACGGUCCCACCGAAAAAUGUAAAAGCAUAUUCCUAUAUACUUUUACUCUAUUUUUUAUUUAAGAGUGUUAGAUAGGUCUCAAUACCAAACUAAGCCUAAAUAUGCGUCCAAGGAGUGUCCACAUCGGACACGAGUCCGACACCGACACGUGCGUGUCCGACACAAACACACGAGGCUUAUAGAAGCUUACAUGAUAUAAAGGUGAGGGGAAUAGCCCUCUACAGCUUAAUCUGAGCCCUCCCAACUGGAAUUCGAACUCGCGUAAUUUAUACUUCUCUGGAUCCAACUUAUUCUGAAGUGGAGAUACUUUAAAGACAAGGAGCAUGCACUAAAGUUGCCAGCAGUUUCAGUCCUGAAUUUUCACAUACCACCUCACAGAUUCAUAGGAGAAGGUUCCUGUUUGGAGUCCCUCAAAUUUAUUUGUUUGGAAAGAUUAGUGGGUGUGAAUUGAUUUGUGUUCAUUUGCCAUAUUUUAGGAUGAUUUCAGUAAGCAUUAAGCAAAUCCAACCGUUUAUCUAUAUCCAACAGAAAUCAAAUACCCUCUCAAAUUACUAUACAAGUCGAAUGACUUAAACAACAUAUUAGAAGGGAAAAAAAAAAGAGAAGAAAACCAAACAUAAGAAUGUAGGCGCAAUAGUAAGUUACAUGAAUUGACAGAAGUAUAAAAUCAGUCCAAUUUUGUCUUAACUUGGAACCGAAAGAAGAGUCAAGAGUAUCAGGUUUGGUCAUUACCUUUUCACCAUAAGAGAAAAGAAGAAGAAGAAAAGAGAAACAAGUUUCGUUUUGGCAGAAUAAUCCACAUUUUUUUGAAGCUUUUAAUUUACUUGUUUCAUUCUUCCAAUUUUGUACAGAGAUCUUCUUUCUUGCCCUAGAAUGCCACUUACCAAAACAAAUUUGAAAUAAAUCGGCGCACAUCGGUUACAACAAAAAAAAAGAACCAGUGGUACAAAAUGUCUGAUGAGGAUCAUCACAUAUUCAAGGUUAAGCUAUCCUUUAUGUAUUAUUAUUAUCAAUAUAAAAGCAGGCUUUAUUAGAUAUACAAAUAACAAAUCUCAUAGAAUACAGUUGUGUCAAUCAGAUAUACCGGAUUACUACAACAGAGUUAUGAAGCAAAUUCAUUUCAAAGACAUAAGACAGAGAUAGUCGCACCUUUGCACAGGGGGAGGAAUUGGACUAGAGAAAAAUGCCGAUGAUUUGGAACAUUCUGGUUCAAAGCAAUUCGGUGGUAGUAGGCAUAUCUUAUGUCGACGAAUAUACAUUACCAACAAACACAUUGUGGCGAGAGGUUCUCAUGCUCUGCCUUCAAUCACUCGCCAAAUAUAGCGGAAAGAAGCAGGCAUUGCGCGAAUGCUGCUCUCACAGUCACUUGCUUCCGGUUCUGUUCUCGCUCCUCAUUUGUGAGUGAUGAGUCGAAACUGCCAACAAGGGAAUGGUGACAAUUAGGGCUAGGGUUUAGCUCUACCUGAAGCAGUUUUGCAGCUAAAAAAAGAAGAAAAAAAAUCAUCUUUCUUUUAGGAUUUUGCGACUUUGGCUCAUUUUUCUCUUUCUCCAAUUCUUCACUAGAGGAUACUUGAAUGACCCAGAAUGACCAUGACCGGAACUCCAGUGUAUGGAUUUUCCAAUAAUGUGGUCCAGGAGCGUUUCAGCUCAGAAGAAGAUUUUACAACAACUUAGAAAUGAGAAAAAUGGACCAAAGUUGCAAAACUGGAAAAGAAAAGAUGGAAUAUUUUUGCGGAAGCCCAUUGUCGGAUUCUUAUCUUCACUUUGCCACAAGAACAACAGGCUCCUGCGUCAACAGUCGUGAUUUUAAAUUGAAAAAAGAAAAUGAGCACAAAUCUAAUUGCCUCUAGUCUUCAGAAAUCUAAGUGCCUCUUUAGUCUUUAGAAAUCUAGUUGCUUCUUUAGUAUUCUGCAACUAUACGUUUCUAGGUUUAUUUUUCCUAUUAAGGUAUGUAUCUUGUCCUCAAUGACCCAACAUGAAUACUGAUAAGUUCGAGUGCAGCAUUAACCUAUCAUAAAGCUGAAAUAAAUUGACCUACCUAUUACAUGACCAGGAAACUAUUGCUGUGCAUUGUGCUCUGCUACAUUGUCUUCUGCAGUUGUCUUAGGAACUUUCUGAAGUUGCUUAUUUUAGCUCUACUACUCCAUCAUAAUUGUUACCUAAAAGAUCGAUCUAGUAGAAAACGGACCAAGAAAUAUAUAUUAAGACCUCCAAUCACAUGUAUGAUGAAUAUGAAAGGCACGUGGAAUUGCUAGAUGAGCUAGAAAAUGAGAAUUUAACCCAUUAUAUAACUACGGGAAUUUAAACCCGUUAAAUAUCAAAGAAGGGAAUUGAAUCCACGACCUCACAGAACGAAGGGGUUUAGAAUUGGCCCCAAUUCCAUUCUACAAAAGAUCGAUAAACAGGCCUAGAAAUUUAUAUUAAUAAUAAUUACUUCCAGAAAUACGUUAAAAGUAAUCGUAUUUGGUGUCUACAGACCAAGAGGCUGUGGUAUGACCAUCAUAUUGAUGUUUAGGAGGCUUAGGAACUUCCUGAGACUAAAAAGUGAGCAGGUAUCCUGUCGAAUCAAGUAAAUGGAACCAGACACAAAGGUUGCAGAGCAGUGCAGCUCAAGAUGAGUGCUUGUAAAGUGGUUCAGAAGUUGUAUUUACCACAAGCGUAGCUGUUUGGAUAAGAUAAAUAAAGAUUUCCGUUCUAAAAUUAGAAUUGAGUUUUCACAGCUCAAGAUUGAGAGAAACAAGAAUAAAGACCUGUAUAGACAUUGAUAAGAGCAUUUAUGUACAAGAAAGAUUUAAGUUUACAGUUCAAAUGCACAUCUGACCAUAUUUAUAUGAUCAUAUACAAUAUAAACUUCAAAUCGCCUUACCCCUCUAAUCUUACAACUUUGAGCAAACUUUUAUCUCCCAAUCAAAAUUUACGUGUUUUAUGCCAAAUGUAAGCUUCUGAUCUAUCUUUUCAAUAAUAAUAUAACUGGCACUUGAACCUAAACAUUCUUAGCUUUGCUUUUGGAUUGAAACUUCUUCUCCUUGUCAUGCGACAGUUAUUAUAAAAGUCAUAUUAUAACUUAACAUAGGAUGCGAGAGAUCUAAGCGAAAAAUAAGAAUUUUGACUGUCAAUCAAUCACCCCCUCCCUAAAAUAAUCUGUGGCAACAAAUAUGAACAUACAGGACAAUUUUUCCAAUCAUAUCCAUUGACCCAUUCUCUAAAAGGCCAUGGUUUGAAUUAGAGCUGCCUUGGAAUCUAUAUAUAGGGAUACUAGACCUCCCACUUUCUUCACAUACUCCAGUGAGAGUCUCAUCAAUUCCGCUCAUAACAGAGAGCAGGUAAGAGGAGAAACCAGAAGACCCAAAGUCCAGUUGUGCAGAUCUGAAUCAAACUUAAGGAUUCAUUUGAAAAGUAUGGUCCACAACUUAGAGAAGAAUGCAAUGGCGAACUACCUUGAUCUUAUAAGCUCCCAUGACCGUCAAAAAAAGAGGUGCUAUCCUAAAUUACUAACAUGAAGAAAACUGCUACUAGAUUCUUGAUAUAUGAACAUAUAUUAAGAAAGAGUCUAGCUAAAAUGUAUAAUCUAAAACCUUCAUUUCUUCAGACAAAAAUUGUAGAAGUAUAUAAUGAACAGAAACAGAAGUUCUAGGAAGACAGCCAAAACUAUCAUUCCAAGCAUUUACUUUCUUUUCUUAGAGAUUUUUGACAAAGGGAUUUUUCUCUCAUAAAUAGAUCAGGUAAAUCACUGCUUUCUCACAAAAUUGAUAUUUUCUGUCAAUAGUGCAACAUUAAAUGAACAUAAGAAAAACAAGAAUUCAAAAGAUACCUUGACUUCCAAAUCUUGAGAGGGGUUUCUUCCUCUAUACAAGCAUUCUCUCCUGUUGGUAUGGGAGAUUUUAAAGUUUCUUCUGCUUCUAAUGUUGGGAAAUUUAAAAGUGAAGAAAUAAAAGAAUCAGAAGCAGCAUUUGUUGACAUGCUACUGCUUGAUUUAUAUCCACCACCUCCCAAAAGCAACUGCAUAUGAGCCUCAUUAAGGUCCCUACCCAACAAAGAAAUCGCCUGGCUGCUGGGAAUGGAAAAUCGAGGUAACCUGCGACGUCUCUGUAUGUGAUCAUAAGUUAAAGAAAAAGCAACAACAUCUGAAUACUUGCACCUUAUGAUGCUUCCAACCUGAUCAGGUGCAUCUAUCUAUAACUAAAUAUCCCGAAAAACUUUGAAAAGGAAAAGGAUAUCUUAAAGAGAUGCCCAUGUUGCAGAGUAAUAUGAUUCAGCAUGUCUCUGGUAAUCUUAACAGAGCAAAUGGGGCAAGCCUGAAAUAUGUGAGUCAUCAGUUAAAGAAGAAAAAGAAAAAGAAAAAGAAAAGAAAAUCUGCACCAUGAAAGUGAACUGCAUCAGAUUUGUUACAUAAGUCAAAGCAAAACAAGUAUCUCCAUAGUUGUAUUGAAAACCGAGACCUCAAAAUAUUACAAGUAUCUCCAUAGUUGUACUGAAGACUGAGACCUCAAAAUAUCAUGUAGUCUCUACAGCGAGUUUUCUUAGAAGCUUGCAGGACCAGCUAGGGAUGGCAAGAUUUCUUAAAUCUGAGAGAGAUUUAACAAGAAACUUUCUAAAAUCUCUAGUAUAACUAAUUCUUUGCAUCCUUUAUAAGCCCAAGUAAAGAGAGUUUCCGCAAUUAAGUUCAGACAAAGGUAGAUAUAUCUAACUAACAUAUCAAGAAAGAAAAGGUAUAUUAUCCUUCUAAAAUCGAAGGUGCUAUAUAGCAUUUUCCUUUUAUGCAUGAUUUUCAUAUUGUCAUUGUUUCACCAAUCAUUUGAAUUUAAAGUCAUCAAUUUAGCUUAAAUUAUAUACCAGAAGGUCAACUGCUAUUCACACCAUGGGCAAAUUAAUUUGCUCUGCAAUUUGCCCCUCAGUAUUUUAUUUGCACAGUAACUGAGUUAUGUUAUUUCACCUGCCAUUGAUCGAACUUAAGCUAGAUAACUGCAUCUAGAGAUAUGUCGUCUUUCAUGGAUGUCUAUCAUAGUCCAUUUUUCUUAUUUCCUGUAAAUGGUGCCAGUAGGGCAAGAAAAUAUAGAGUUUUCAUUUUUCUAAAUUAAUAGCUUUGAUUUUGGCUUUUUGAUCAAUUUAGAGACACAGAAUGCCGGAGAGUCAGGACAUCUAUAAUUAGCUAGGAUUCAAACACAAUCAGAAUUAGCUGAAUUCAUCACGUAAAAAGGUAACUCCCAGAUACUAAUAUGCAAACAUUCAAAGUCCAACAUACCACUUAAAAUGUCCUUGUAGUUUAGUAUCUUCAUGAAUAUCAUUUCGGUAAACAAGCCAAUUUUUUUUUACCACAUGAAGGUGGACUUCCCGAAUUCUUACCCCAUGAAAAGUAACAAUAAAUGAAAUAAUUUGGAUAUAUCCACUUGAACGAUGCGUCUAUGGUUCUCAAGUGCUAUCAUGAAAACGGGACAAAAUGUAGCAAACCAAAUGGAAGGACAAUGAUCGGAUUGUAAAUACUGUGCUGAUUAAGCAUUAAUAGAAAAGCAAAAAGAAGGUUUUGUUUGUCACUUCCAAGACAGAAGUACUUCUAUAUACGAAAUUUCAAAUUAGAUAUAACCGCCACAAAGAAAAUACAAAUUGGUACUCAUGGUUCCGUCUCACAGUUGCAUUACCAUUUCCUAUAACAGUAACAUUCAAUAAAAUGAUCAAAAACCACAAGUUAAAAGCAUAAAGAACGACGAGCAAAUUGGAAAAUCAACCAAUCAUGGACUACCACUAUCCAAUCUUCUAGCUUAUGUUUCAUAUCAGUAUAUUAUAAUUGGAACUAACCAUCAAUUCUUUCCUGAUAACUGCAUUGAAUUAAAAAGAGUUAGUCCAUGCAAGGAAUUCCCCAUUCAGGUCAUGUAAUCUCGAAUUGUAAGCUCAUCAUAGUUAUCAACUUUGUGCAGUUUUAAAUAAGCAUAACAACUGAUGUAGUCCUCUACAAUCUCCCUCUCAUAAAAAACAAGUCCAAAUGACUAUGAAACAUCUGAUAAAGUAGUCUAUUUUGCUACCUUUUAUUGAACCUUUGGACCCUUCUUCCUACUCCUAUCCCUCCUGGCCGCUCUUCCCCACUCCCCUCCUCUCCUUAUGAUCCUUCACCCCUUACCUCACUUGCUUCCCUCAAGCCACCUUGAGACGUAGUGCUCAUCUCUCUUCUAAAUUCGCCGGCUGUAGAAUCUUAGAUCGAGCGAACAAAAUUAAGCAUGUGAAGUACCUAUCUGCUCAUCUAGUUCUACCUUAGCUGCUUCUUCGCAACCCUCCUCAAUGGGCAUGACUUAAGAUCUACAAGCCCUAUGUUGUUGAACCAUAGUUUCUAAUGUCCCCUGACAAUCGAAAAUCUCGAGGAGUCGAUGAUUCUUCUUCCACAAAAGCAGCUUUGUUGAUUUAGGUGUUAGUUGCUUCGGAAGAAAAUGGGCAACCUUUUUCAUUGGUAGCAGAGCUUAUUUUUCUUCUGCACUGAGUCCUCUGCCUGUGCUUUUUCCUUCCUUUUUGCUCUUUCGCAUAUUUAUGUUAGGCUAUUUUGUGCUUCACCCCCCCCCCCUUUAGGAUAGGUUAGUUUGAGUUCACCGCUGACCUUUUAUAUAGUGGUUGUGCCGGGAUAGGAGUUUAAAAUUGUGUACUUUUUUUUAAGGAAUCACCUUGUGUCUUACAUUCAAAUAGUAGUCCCUUUUGCAAAAACCCAUUAACUGGUCUACAAGCUAAUCUUUAUUUUGCUAAAACUCGCAAAAAUUAUCAUAACAGAUACCGCAACAAAGAAAAAGGUUACAAUUUCUAGGGUUUCGACACUCACGGCGACUUUAGACUCAAACGGAUGCUCUUCUUCGAGGUGGGCACACAGCGACGCGAUGUCGUGAUCCUCGCAGCAGUACGGGCACGGGAAGUCCGGCCGAACCUCCUCCUCCUCCGCAUCGAACUCGUCGAACCCCAUCCGAUCCACAAACCCUAAACUCCUCAAAUCCACCCCAAAAAAAAAAAAAAAAUCUCAGCAAGACCAACAAAAACCCAUCCCGAUACGAUCCACCCCGUCUCAUAAUCCCAGUUUCGAAGGCCCCCCCAAAAAAAAGGAAAGAAAAGAAAAGGCAUCAAACGCGGGAGACGAACCUGAUUGGGGGUUUUGGUGGAGCAAAUUCGCGAUGUGCCGCUUCGCGACGGCGAGGCGGGAGAUCCACGGAUCCGAAUCCAUCGAUCUCUCUCUUCGCUUUUCUUUUCGGGGAUUUUUCGGGGGAAUUUAUUAGGGUUUUUGCUCGAUCGAGAGAGAGAGAGAGAGAGAGAGAGAGAGAGGGAGAAGAGGACGAAGAAGAAGAAGAAGAAGAAGAAGGAGAAGAGGGGUUUUAUCGGUUUCUGUCGACACCGGACCGCGUCGGUCCGCGUGCUGACGUGGCGGAGCGGAGGCGGGUGGGCGGUUGCGGCGGGCUCGGCUCCGACCGCGACAGAGAUGGCACGGCCCACGGGUGGUGCGCCCGCCAUCUACGAGCGGAUAAACCUCACGUGACAUCCGCGUGAGCAAGUCAAAAUGUGUUUGCUCCAUAGUGGGGCAAUUGUUUGUACAUCUCUUAAAAAAAAUUGAAUUUUUUUAUUUAUCUCUUUUAAAAGAUUAAUAUUAACGUUUCAAGCUAUUUUAAAUAGAAUUUUUUUAUAAAUAAUUCUAGCUAUUUUUAGAACUAUAAAAAUAUUUUUUUAAAAAAAUUAAUUAUAAAAAUAGAUCUCUAAUAUGCCAGAUUGAAUUUUUUUUAAAUAAAUAAAUAAUAUAGGCGAUAGCGGUAAAUCAUUUAUCAUUUUUAUAACUCCUCCUAAAAUCACUAAAUUAUUUUUAAAUGCGAUGAAUCAUUCUCCUUUUUUAUUAUCUUAUCCUAAACCUUUCUUUUAUUCUCUCUCAUUUUUUCAUCGUUCCGUCUCUUCACGUCGCCGUCACUGUCUCUCAUUUUUUCAACAUUCUCUCGUUCUGUCUCUCUCUUUGCCACAAUGUCGUUGUCGAUGCACCCACAGUUACAGAGUCAUAGAAAAGAAUAAAAGAGGAAAGAAAGCGGUGAAUGAUUUUACCGUUUUUAAAAACGGUGAAUUAUUCACUGUUUUUACUAAAUCGGUAAAUGUUUCACCGCAUUUCUUUCUCUCUCCGCCAUAAAAGGGUUAGUGCACUAAACUCUUCCUUUUAAAUAUAACCCUAGAGUUAAGGGGAAAAAAUAAACUAUAGUGCAAGGAGAAGGAGAGAAAGAAGAGAGAGAAAGAAUAUGGGUAUUUUAGUUAGUUUUUAAAAAAUUCAAGUACAACCUGCAAAAUAAAAAAAUACAAUAUGAUUUUACAAACACACAAAAAUAAUAAAUUUUUUAAGCAAAAAGGCUUAAAAUAUUUUAUAUUAAUCUUUAUCCUUACUUCUCAUUUAGAGAAAAAAUUAGUUUUUUUUCAUUCAUUUUUUUAAAAAAAAUUAAACUAAGUUAGAAAUGUGAAGCAACUGAGCUUCAAACUUGAGACCUACUUUAGCCUUUUGCAAAAAAAUAUAUUGAUAUUGCAUUUUUGCAAAACUAGAUUUUUUUUUUGGAUUUUGCAUAUCUAAUCUAGAUUUAAAAAUCUAAAUAAAAUGCUCAUAUUUCUCUCUCUUUCCUUCCUCUCUCUCUCAUCCCUAUCAUAUUCUUCAUUAUGGAGCCGUAGUUACGGACACCGUCAUCACUCUCUUCCUUUCCCUCCUCUUCUUGAAUCAGAAUACAAUUGAAAAAAUGAAAUAAAGAAAUAAAACCAUCUAAAAUAAGCCUACGAAAUGAGAUUCAAUUGGUAAUCUAAUAAAGAUAAAUGUUAUUAUACUGAUGUAGAAUGGCAGAAGGACCUUGCAACCAGCUACCACUAGCACAGCGAUAGUUCAACUCGUCGCACUGUCAUUAGAGGUAAUCACACUAAUGCAUUAAUAACUUCUUUAGUAUCACUGUGAAUGAUGGUUUGAGAAUAAGGAAGAGAAUUGACAAUAUUUGUUGCAGGUAAAAUUGCGCAUGUCUUUCUCUUAGCAAUAAAACUUAUCCAAAUAACCUUUACAACAUCACCGAGAAAAAACUGUACCUUUCUUUCAAAGGCAAUGCUAAUGCCAUAUUUACGUGCAUCCCAAGUAGCAUCUACCCAGCGUCAAAGAUCACAAACUUGAUUCUUUGUAGCACAAUAUUUUGUAAAGUUAUAUUCUAAAAGAUGUAUCCUGUAUAAUAAAAAUAUUAAUUAUUCAACAUACAUGCAAUUUUAUAAAAAUAUUGUGACGCAAAUAGUACGAUAUUUAUAUAAAUAGUUUUAAUUUGUGCAAUAUUUUUUAUCUUUUUCUUUCUUUCCUCUUCUUUAUCUUCUACUUUUUUUUUCCUUAUGUUUCUUCAUACUUCUUCUAUCCCUCGCUACCAACCACGGUUGCCAACCCGUGCGCUCACCUGAGACUGUUUCGGUGUUCAUAAUUUAAGAAAAAGAAGGAAAAACAAUAUGUUGCACUAUUGCACUCUAAUUGCGAGUAGGGCUACUAUACUCUUAGGGCGCAUUUGGUUCAAGUUAUAUAAUAUUACAGAGUAUUUCGAUAUAUCCAGGUAUUUUGGAUUUCUAAAAGAGAUUACUCCUUAUACUGAAUUAGCGCGUUUGGUUUAAUACAGUAAUAUAAUGCUGAAUUGCAGUGGUUAUAGCAUUGCUAUGUUUGGUUCUAUCUAUAAAAUUCAGUAAUCCAGACAAUAAAGUAUAGUCUAUUCCAAAAUUGCCCUUAAUCAUAUUUUGUAAACUUUUUUUUUUACUGUUUACAAAUAAUAUUUUUUUGCUAAAUUUUAUUUUAAAUAAUUUAAUUUUUGAAAUUUAAAUUUUAAAUUUGAACAAAAAUAUAAAUUUAAUAUUUUAAUUUAAAAUAUAAAUAUGAAAUUUAUAAAUUUAAAAUCCAAAAUAUAAAUAUAAAUAUAAAUAUAAAUAUAAAAUUAAAAAUCUAUAUUUAAAAUUCAGAAAUUAAAAUACAAAUUUGAAUUUUAAAAUUUAAAAUUUAAAAUUUAAAAUUUAAAAUUUGAAAUUAAAAAUUUAAAAUUUAGAAUUUGAAAUUUAAAAUUUAGAAUUUAGAAUUUGAAAUUUAAAAUCUAAAUUUUUAAACUUCAAAUUUAAAAUUUUUUAAAUUUUAAAUUUUAAAUUUCAAAUUUCAAAUUUCAAAUUUAAAUUUGAAAUUUAAAAUUUAGAAUUUAUAUUCAAAUUUAAAAUUUAAAUUUUAAAUUUGAGGUUUAAAAAUUUAAAUUUUAAAUUUUUUUUUGAGUUAAAAGUUGACAAUUCAAAUUUUUAAAUUAAAUUUUUUAAAUGACAUAUUAAAAGGGUUUUGGGAGUUAGAGGGGUAAAAUUGUCAUUUUACAUAAUAUGUAGUAUUACCGGUUUUCAGUAAUGCAAAAUACACGAUCCCCCUCUCGUUAAUAUUUUCAGUGUAAUCCUGCUCGAUUUGUAAUGCUACAUUAACGACUAAAUUACAUAGUGGAUGAAGCAAACACAGUAAUUCUGACAGGAUUGCCUCUAAUCCUGCCAGGAUAACUCGAACCAAACGCACCCUUAUGAGUAUAGAUCUCUUUAUACUCAUAAUAUUUUCGGCUGUUAGAUAAAGGGAUGCGUCGGUUAGAAUAGUAGUGGUCCCUUAAGGUUGAGUAGAUGGUUGGUUGAAUAGUAUGAUCUAAUGGGUGGAAAUGAUUAAAGGGGUAGAUCUAACGGUCAAAAAAUUAUGAAUAUAAAAAGGUCUAUACUCAGAAGAGUAUAUAGUAGCCGAACUCCUCUAAUUGCACUAUUUAGACAAAUAUUAUGUUAUUUGCACUGCACUAUUUGUAUAAAAUUGCACUUGUGUUACACGAUUUGUAAUUUUCUUAUACAAAUACUCUUUCAUUUUUACUUAUUAUUUUUAUGUCAUAUGAUAGUACACGACCUUUGAGUAAAAAGUAAAAAGUAUAUGCAGGCUAGGGUGUCAACGAGCCGAAUACGAGCGAGCUGGGGUCGGCUUUUAUUCGGAACGAGACGAACGAUUUGGUUCGUUAAAGUAUCGAGCCGAAAAGUUCAGCUCGUGUUCGACUCGUUUAUUAACGAGCUGAACACGAACUGGCUAACGAACACGAACAACAAGUUAAGGACUGUUUGGUUUGCAUGUAGUUGCAAGUGCACUGCAAUUAUAACUGCAUGUAAAUGCAAAUUCGGUGUUUGGUUUGAUAUACUUAACUCCAACUGCUGUAAUAGAAACUGUAGGAGAAGGUCUAACUGCAGUAGUUGGAACUACACCCAAAUUCGCCUCAGUUCCAAUUGUAGCAGUUGGAGAGAAUAACUUUAAGCAAAAAGUAAGUUUACCUUUUUAAUUUUUUUAAACAAAAAAUAUAUUUUUUCUAUAUUGGAGAUAAUCUUACCAUCAUAUAUAUAAAAUAAUAAAAUUUUAAAUUUUAUUUCUCAACUGCGGGCAACCAAACAAAUUAUUUGUAGUUACAACGCUUACUACAUCCAACCAAACAGGAUAUAUGUAGUUACGAGUGCUGCAUUUCCAACUGCGUGCAAACUUCAACUAUAUAUUAUAUUUAUAAUUAUAUCUAACCAAACAGUCCCUUAAAAAAAUUAGAUAUGAUAUAUAUAUAUAUAUAUAUAUAUAUAUAUAUAUAUAUAUAUAUAGAUUGGAAUUGAGCUAUAAUAUUUUUAGAAACACCAAUUCCUUGGUGCUUCUAGGUUUCUAAUAUUUGGAUCUACUCCUUGAUUAUUAAUAGUUCUUGAAUUAAACACUAUUUUAUCUACCAACACCUACCACCAUCAUCCUAACCUUACAUCUCUCCAUCCAAAAGCUAAAAAUUCAAAAGCAC